UUCUCUCUCACACACACAACACCCAAACACCUACUUAUCACGCCAAACACCAUUUUUAGCUUGGAUGGAGGUUUCAAGCUCCGAUUUGAGCACCGAGACGAGCGCCGAUCAUCUUUUCGAUCACGUAUCUAAGUAGGUUGAGCUGAUGUGAUGAUGGUGCUGCAAUGAGCGGAGUCUCCAGGGUUGUUAAUAAAUAGUUAACUUGUCUAGAAUAUGUCUUCAUACAUAUGUCUAGCUACUUUCCGCUGCAAGAUGUUGUUGAUGUUAUAGUAUGUUAUGUCAUACUUUGAGUCUUAAGAGAAUGGUUUCAUAUGAUGUAUAACUUGAUUAAUGAUAUUAAUUAAGUUUUAUGUUGUCUUUCAUAGACUGUUCAAAAGAGUAUUAAUGAGUAAAUACGACGAUUUUUCUUAAGUUGAGUAA